CCUACGGGAGGCAGCAGUGGGGAAUAUUGCGCAAUGGGCGAAAGCCUGACGCAGCGACGCCGCGUGAGGGAUGAAGGUCUUCGGAUCGUAAACCUCUGUCAGCAGGGAAGAACGGUCACUGUGCUAAUCAGCAGUGAAUUGACGGUACCUGCAAAGGAAGCACCGGCUAACUCCGUGCCAGCAGCCGCGGUAAUACGGAGGGUGCGAGCGUUAAUCGGAAUUACUGGGCGUAAAGCGCUCGUAGGCGGUAUGUCAAGUCAAGGGUGAAAGCCCCGCGCUCAACGUGGGAACUGCCUUUGAAAAGGGCAAACUGGAGUGUGUGAGAGGAUAGUGGAAUUCCAGGUGUAGGAGUGAAAUCCGUAGAUAUCUGGAGGAACAUCAGUGGCGAAGGCGACUAUCUGGCACAUAACUGACGCUGAGGAGCGAAAGCGUGGGUAGCAAACAGGAUUAGAUACCCGGGUAGUC
rnacentral:rRNA from 1 species